rnacentral:rRNA from 1 species
CGGCCGCCCGUGUGCUGGAUUCACCCUUCCGUAAUUCCAGCUCCAAUACCGUAUACUAUUCGUUGGUGCAGUUAAAAAGCUCGUAUCCGAGAUUUCAUUACGCUCAGUUAAGUUUCAAUCCUGAUUUCAUUACGGUCCUGCUUCGUUGACUUAAACUUCUAUGCUAUUCUUUUAGCGUGGCUGGCGACUGUCUCGUUUACUUUGAUAAAAUUAAAGUGUUCAGAGCAGGUGUUAGCCUGAACAUUGCUCUGGGAAUAAUGCUAUGAGACUUUGGUUCUAAUGUAUUGGUGAUUGGGACCAGAGUAAUGAUUGAUAGGGACGGUUGGGGUCUUACGUACUGCAAAGCGAGAGGUGAAAUUCUUGGACCUUUGUAUGACGAACAACUGCGAAAGCAUUGGACUAGGACGUUCCCGUUGAUCAAGAACGAAAGUUGGGGGAUCGAAGACGAUCAGAUACCGUCGUAGUCUCAACCAUAAACUAUGCCAGCUAGGGAUCGGAGGACGUUACAUGUUCGACUCCUUCGGCACCUUAUGAGAAAUCAAAGCAUUUGGGUUCCGGGGGGAGUAUGGUCGCAAGGCUGAAACUUAAAGGAAUUGACGGGAGGGCACCACCAGGAGUGGAGCCUGUGGCUUAAUUUGACUCAACACGGGAAAACUUACCAGGUCCGGACAUAGUAAGGAUUGACAGAUUGAAAGCUCUUUCUUGAUUCUAUGGGUGGUGGUGCAUGGCCGUUCUUAGUUGGUGGAGUGAUUUGUCUGGUUAAUUCCGUUAACGAACGAGACCUCAGCCUGCUAAAUAGUGUCAUUUUCUUUUAGAAGAUGUGCACUUCUUAGAGGGACUACUUGUGAAACAACCAAGCGGAAGCUUGAGGCAAUAACAGGUCUGUGAUGCCCUUAGAUGUUCUGGGCCGCACAUGGGCUACACUGGUGCAUUCAACAAGCAUAAUCACCUCAACCGAAGGGUUAGGGUAAUCUUUGAAAUUGCACCGUGCUUGGGAUAGACUAUUGCAAUUUUUAGUCUUCAACGAGGAAUUCCUAGUAAACGCAAGUCAUCAGCUUGCAUUGAUUACGUCCCUGCCCUUUGUACACACCGCCC